GCUGUAACCCAAGCCUGAGGGGUGCUGGGGACUUAGGGAGGGAAGCUGGGCUUUCAAACUGCUGUAACCCAAGGAAGAAAAUCAUCAGCCUAUAUGCCUUUCACAGCAUUUGAAGGCAAAAUGGUUUGUGGCUUAGCCAUUGUUUAAAGGCCAUUCCUCAAAUUCCUUGUUUACUGUCAGCGGGGUGAGUUGUGGACUCUGUGACUUUAGCUGUUAAUGGGCCUAACCACUUCUGCCAACAGAUUAAGCUGUGCUGAAACAUUAAGAAAAUUGGCCCAAACAGAGAUAGGGAGCAUUCUUGUUUAGCUGUUGUUUCAUUUACAUGAGAAUCAUUGUCCCCAAACAAUAGCAUUUCCAUAUCGUCCAAAGAGCGGGCAAUUGGGUGAAACCCAUUCUGUUUCUGCUAAAUGACAGAAAUUGUUUGUUUGUUUGUUUCUAGAGAGAAAGAAAAAUGCUCAUUUUCAGCUGCAGUAGAUCCAAGUAGAUCCGAAAUGAAAUCCAGCCCCCAAAUACCUCCAGCUGGUGAAGGACUGGGAGCUCACCAGGAUGGGGUGAUGAUGGAAGAAAACAUGAAUAUUAACAGCUGAACCGCGGGCCUUGCGGAGCGCUAAUUACGGAUGAAACCAGUCUAAGCCUUUAAAAGAAAAAAGGACGUACAGGAGGAAAUCCACAGCGUUUGACCGGACCUGCGGUUCCAAUUCAGGGUGAGCAAUGCACAUAAAAGGGAUCCAACGAGUGCCAGAAUUAAAGAAUGAGCAGAAUUAAGGUUUUGAGUCUUACGUAUUUUGGUAUUAGACGAGCUCUAAAGACCCUCGUGGUAACCACAAGUGGUGACCUAUUGCUUUGAUCCGCAACAUCUACCAGAAAAUAUAUUUUGCCAACAGAUCCUUCUGCUCCCACAGUAAUGAACCUCCACCAAAGAUAAAUGCAUUUGGACAUGCAUUUGAUCUUGCUAUAUGAUUUGAAUGCAUUUGCAAUUCUGUACUCACCAUUUAAAUUCACUGUAGAGAGCAAGUUGCAAUACUUUUAACGGGCUCUAAUCUCUCUGGUUUCAGUUUGAGACCAAGAGGCAUUUCAUAUCAUCAGCACUGGAUUUGUAUUGUAUGCUCAGAAAAUAGGAAUGGAUUUCCAGGGGGUUUAAUUUAUCAAUAUCUGGUCUUUAUGGGAAACAUUAGUUUGCAUAGGAAAAGGGGUUAAAGGAAGGUUUAAAUUAUGUCUCUAAUAUUUCCUGAAAACUUUGUACAAAAAUAUUCUAUGCCACAAAAGCCCAUUAAAUAUUCAAACUUUAAUAUACAUUCCUCAGUAACAAAUGUACAGUUAGAUAACACAUAAAGAAUUGUGAAUGACUAAUUAUAUUUUGCAUAUUUACAGCAAAGACAAUUAGCAAAUAGCUUUUAUAUGCAAAAUAAAUGAAAAAGUAAUUAAGAUGCA
rnacentral:lncRNA from 1 species